GAUGAACGCUGGCGGCGUGCUUAACACAUGCAAGUCGAACGAUUAAAGCCCCUUCGGGGGUGUAUAGAGUGGCGAACGGGCGAGUAACACGUGGGCAAUCUGCCCCUCACUUCGGGAUAACUCAGGGAAACUUGAGCUAAUACCGAAUACUCCGGUCGGACCGCAUGGUCUGCUCGGGAAAGCUCCGACGGUGAGGGAUGAGCCCGCGGCCCAUUAGCUUGUUGGUGGGGUAAUGGCCUACCAAGGCGACGAUGGGUAGCCGAGCUGAGAGGCUGAUCGGCCACACUGGGACUGAGACACGGCCCAGAAUCCUACGGGAGGCAGCAGUGGGGAAUUUCGCGCAAUGGGCGAAAGCCUGACGCAGCAACGCCGCGUGCGGGAUGAAGGCCUUCGGGUUGUAAACCGCUUUCAGCAGGGAUGAAACUGACAGUACCUGGAGAAUAAGCUCCGGCUAACUCCGUGCCAGCAGCCGCCGUAACAC
rnacentral:rRNA from 1 species